rnacentral:rRNA from 1 species
GAUGAACGCUGGCGGCGUGCCUAAUACAUGCAAGUCGAACGAGGUCUUCGGACCUAGUGGCGAGCGGGUGAGUAACACGUUGGUACCUACCCCGAAGUGGGGAAUAACUGCCCGAAAGGGUGGCUAAUACCGCAUAAUACCGCAAGGUUAAAGCAGUAAUGCGCUUCGGGAGGGGCCUGCGUCCCAUUAGCUAGUUGGUAGGGUAAUGGCCUACCAAGGCGACGAUGGGUAGCUGGAUCGAGAGGUUGACCAGCCACACUGGGACUGAGAUACGGCCCAGACUCCUACGGGAGGCAGCAGUAAGGAAUCUUCCACAAUGGACGAAAGUCUGAUGGAGCAACGCCGCGUGCAGGAUGACGGCCUUCGGGUUGUAAAGUCCUUUUAACGGGGAAGAUAAUGACGGUACCCGUAGAAUAAGCCCCGGCUAACUUCGUGCCAGCCGCCGCGGUAACAC